UAAAAAUAAUGUUGGCGAGCACAUCAUCGAGCGCUCCGACAUGCCAGAUCACCUGGUCAAACAAGUAGGCGGAGAAAUGGUGUUUGAGCAGGUCUAAGAUCAGGUAUUCCCAAUUACCUCCUACCCAAUAGCUGAAAUAAACAAUAAUUCCAUGCGAAUUGUCAACCAGCAUAAAGGUGCAUACGUCAAUGAUAGACAGUUGAAGCAGCGACAACGGCUGCGAGCAGUACCUGUGACGGAGGUGCACUACACUUGGGAUGAGGUGAAUACUCGCUACUGGGUCUUUGGACUGGAACGUAGAGUGCACGCCCCUGAUUAUCCACAACAGUGCUGUUGGGGCUGUACCAUCUUGUAAAAGUUCACGCCAAAAAGGAGAUGUCUUGGACUUCACAUUGGAAAUAGAAAUUACAUUUUUGUUCUGUGAAAUUUAAAGUACAUGUAGAAAAUUAUCUUAAGCAUUGUGUCUGAUAUCUAUCAAAGUCCUCGAUGUUAUCAAUGUGAUAUUAAUCCUUCUAAAACCAAUAUUUCAAUUAUUGCGCUUGUCUACUAAUCUUAUUUUAAAUGUGUCACCUAUUGGGCAGGGUAUAACAUUAGUAUGACGCUUCAGAAAAGACGUUGAAUUUCAAUCAAUGGUUUAUUUAUUUAAUGAGGACUGCAAACAGCCCUAGGGCUUGGAAUAGGCUCCCCUCAGACGGUUCCUGUAUAGUUCAUUAUUGACUUGUGUUCUCUUAUAACCUCAUCCAAUUUCAGUAGGUAUUUUACAUCAUACUUUUCACCCAUUCCUAAAACGAACUCACAUAACUGAUAUUAUCCUAAAUUUAGAAUAUAUAGGUGUUUCUUGAAAGAAAUGUAUUGAUGGGAUUGUUUGAAAAAAUUCAAUUUGCAAUAGAAACGAGAUUGUCAAAACCUAUCACAUAGUUUUUGAUUACCAACGGCUUUGAUUAAACUCUGAACCAGGUCACGCACACACGACGUAGUAAGCAGUAUUAUGUAUUUUAGAAUUAUUGUAUAUUUCACAACUGUAUUGCAAAUGUAAAUUUCCUCUGUACUCUGGGAUCUCUACUCCGGUGUGACUGCUAUUAACACAUUGUCUUGUUUUUAACACAAUAUGUUUCCUAGAUGAUUUUAAUCAAGGUGUAUUUAACACAACUAUACAUGUGCCAAUAGUUGGAAGAGUUCAUGAUUUGUACUUGGAAUAUCAAGUGCAUUGAUUAAGUAUUAUUUUUCUAUUGAAUUUUGUAUUUUCUUCUGAAUCUGUUUAUAAAUCUGAAGAGUGAUUUUUUUUAUUUUUUUUUUUUUAUAUUGUGUAUGUAAACAUUCUCUUUCCUGUUUAAUUGAAAUAAAUUGCUGUAAGCGUU